CAGUAGCCGCGGUAAUACGAAGGGGGCUAGCGUUGUUCGGAAUUACUGGGCGUAAAGCGCACGUAGGCGGAUAUUUAAGUCAGGGGUGAAAUCCCGCAGCUCAACUGCGGAACUGCCUUUGAUACUGGGUAUCUUGAGUAUGGAAGAGGUUAGUGGAAUUGCGAGUGUAGAGGUGAAAUUCGUAGAUAUUCGCAGGAACACCAGUGGCGAAGGCGGCUAACUGGUCCAUAACUGACGUUGAGGUGCGAAAGCGUGGGGAGCAAACAGGAUUAGAUACCCGAGUAGUCCCUGUCUCUUAUAC
rnacentral:rRNA from 1 species